GACGAACGCUGGCGGCGUGCCUAAUACAUGCAAGUAGAACGCUGAAGGAGGAGCUUGCUCUUCUGGAUGAGUUGCGAACGGGUGAGUAACGCGUAGGUAACCUGCCUGGUAGCGGGGGAUAACUAUUGGAAACGAUAGCUAAUACCGCAUAAGAGUAGAUGUUGCAUGACAUUUGCUUAAAAGGUGCAAUUGCAUCACUACCAGAUGGACCUGCGUUGUAUUAGCUAGUUGGUGGGGUAACGGCUCACCAAGGCGACGAUACAUAGCCGACCUGAGAGGGUGCUCGGCCACACUGGGACUGAGACACGGCCCAGACUCCUACGGGAGGCAGCAGUAGGGAAUCUUCGGCAAUGGACGGAAGUCUGACCGAGCAACGCCGCGUGAGUGAAGAAGGUUUUCGGAUCGUAAAGCUCUGUUGUAAGAGAAGAACGAGUGUGAGAGUGGAAAGUUCACACUGUGACGGUAUCUUACCAGAAAGGGACGGCUAACUACGUG
rnacentral:rRNA from 1 species